UUAAGUCCCGCAACGAGCGCAACCCUCGCCUUUAGUUGCCAGCAUUUAGUUGGGCACUCUAGAGGGACUGCCGGUGAUAAGCCGGAGGAAGGUGGGGAUGACGUCAAGUCCUCAUGGCCCUUACGGGCUGGGCUACACACGUGCUACAAUGGUGGUGACAGUGGGCAGCGAAACCGCGAGGUCUAGCUAAUCUCCAAAAGCCAUCUCAGUUCGGAUUGCACUCUGCAACUCGAGUGCAUGAAGUUGGAAUCGCUAGUAAUCGCAGAUCAGAAUGCUGCGGUGAAUACGUUCCCGGGCCUU
rnacentral:rRNA from 1 species